AACGUAGGUUCCGAGCGUUAUCCGGAUUUACUGGGCGUAAAGCGCGUUCAGGCGGUUUGGCAAGUCGGGCAUGAAAUCUCUCGGCUCAACCGGGAGAGGUUGUCCGAUACUGCUGGACUGGAGGCAGUAGAGGGUGGUGGAAUUCCGGGUGUAGUGGUGAAAUGCGUAGAGAUCCGGAGGAACACCAGUGGCGAAAGCGGCCACCUGGACUGUACCUGACGCUGAAACGCGAAAGCUAGGGAGCGAACGGGAGU
rnacentral:rRNA from 1 species